UGCUUUGUACAUGUGUGGGUAUAUAAUGACCGAGAACUAUGUACUGAUAGACUGAGCUUGGGUCAACAUUCAUGGAAAAAGAGCACUUGUGGGUUAAAUGUUGUUUUUUUCUUUAAAAGUUUUUCUGAGGUUUCAUUUGGUGUAAUUACAGUGGGGGCCAAAUACAAUACUAACUUAUAGACCCCCUGCAGCUGGUGUGGUGUAAAUUUUCCUUUUUACAAUAACAUCUGUUUUGAAUUCUUGGGUCACUGUGAACUACACAACUACACGUAAAAAAAAAAGUUAUCAUAUUGCUCUUGCAUAACAGACCUGAGUAGUCCACCGUGACUCAAGCCCACCACAAAGUCUCACCCACUCAAGCCCCCCAUCAUGCUUGCUGUGCAGCUGCAGUGUUUGAGUGUGUAUGUGUGAACACCCAUGGUCUGUGCUGGCCAAGGAUUAGAGGGAGCUCAGGCUAACACAAACCUUUUUUACCCCCUGAACUACUUAACACAAAUGGCCAAAUUGGGGCAGAUGGAUCAGAAAUCCCAAAUGUUGAAAGUUGGAGGGGUAACCGUCAAAGAAAAUAUCAAAUGGAUCCUGAAGAGAUGCAGUGGCAGGAAACAGGACGGGAGAAACCCAGAUGGACAGUAAAUAUGAGACACAUAGUCAAAGUUCACAUAGUGGAAUAUUACACUGUAUUUUAUUUUGUUUGUAACAUUAAAAAAAAGUUAUUUCUUCUAAAUGAUGGAAAAAAAUAUUUGUUCUAAAUGUUAAACAGAUGUUUUACU